AGUUUGAUCCUGGCUCAGGAUGAACGCUAGCUACAGGCUUAACACAUGCAAGUCGAGGGGCAGCAUUGGGGUAGCAAUACUUCAGAUGGCGACCGGCGCACGGGUGAGUAACACGUAUCCAACCUGCCGCUUACUCGGGGAUAGCCUUUCGAAAGAAAGAUUAAUACCCGAUGGUAUAAAGAGUUCGCAUGUUCUCUUUAUUAAAGAAUUUCGGUAAGCGAUGGGGAUGCGUUCCAUUAGAUUGUUGGCGGGGUAACGGCCCACCAAGUCUACGAUGGAUAGGGGUUCUGAGAGGAAGGUCCCCCACAUUGGAACUGAGACACGGUCCAAAUCCUACGGGAGGCAGCAGUGAGGAAUAUUGGUCAAUGGACGAGAGUCUGAACCAGCCAAGUAGCGUGAAGGAUGACUGCCCUAUGGGUUGUAAACUUCUUUUAUAAGGGAAUAAAGUGAGGGACGUGUCCCUUUUUGUAUGUACCUUAUGAAUAAGGAUCGGCUAACUCCGUGCCAGCAGCCGCGGUAAUACGGAGGAUCCAAGCGUUAUCCGGAUUUAUUGGGUUUAAAGGGAGCGUAGGUUGACAUAUAAGUCAGCUGUGAAAGUUUACGGCUCAACCGUGAAAUUGCAGUUGAUACUGUAUGUCUUGAGUGUACAAGAGGUGGGCGGAAUUCGUGGUGUAGCGGUGAAAUGCUUAGAUAUCACGAAGAACUCCAAUUGCGAAGGCAGCUCACUGGGGUACAACUGACACUGAGGCUCGAAAGUGUGGGUAUCAAACAGGAUUAGAUACCCUGGNUAGUCCACACAGUAAACGAUGAAUACUCGCUGUUUGCGAUAUACAGUAAGCGGCCAAGCGAAAGCAUUAAGUAUUCCACCUGGGGAGUACGCCGGCAACGGUGAAACUCAAAGGAAUUGACGGGGGCCCGCACAAGCGGAGGAACAUGUGGUUUAAUUCGAUGAUACGCGAGGAACCUUACCCGGGCUUGAAUUGCAGAGGAAUAUAGUUGAAAGAUUAUGGCCGCAAGGUCUCUGUGAAGGUGCUGCAUGGUUGUCGUCAGCUCGUGCCGUGAGGUGUCGGCUUAAGUGCCAUAACGAGCGCAACCCUUAUCAUUAGUUACUAACAGGUCAUGCUGAGGACUCUAGUGAGACUGCCGUCGUAAGAUGUGAGGAANGU
rnacentral:rRNA from 1 species